rnacentral:lncRNA from 1 species
CAUACUAAGACCAUGUACCCGGCACGACUGUCAUCAAAAAAAUGACAGUUAACAUAGACAUUGUGGCUUACUACCUGCGUUCCCACCCAGCCAGGCAUUUGGUAGAUUAUUUAGUGAUGGGUUUCUCACGGGCCUCAUUGCCAUCCCCACAGACACACUCAAAUGCCCUAACCUAUUGUCAGCAUCUAACGACCCUCUUAUGGUGGAUCGCCAAGGCUGGUUUCAUGAUUGGUCCUUUCACAUCAUCACCGUCUUCAUCCUGGCAUACCAACCCCAUUGGGGUAGCCGUACACAAGUACUCAAAUAAAAAGAGAUUGAUUAUCGACCUCUCUGCACCUUAUUCUUCUUCCAUCACUAGCAUCAACUCUCUCACUAUGCAAAAAUUGAUGACGCUAUGCAAGCUAUCAUCACAGCAGGCAGUAAGGCAUGGUUCAGCAAGACUGAUAUUACCAACGCCUUCAAGCUCCUACCCAUUCACCCCUCACUAUGGCACUUGCACGGUGUUAAAUGGCGGGACAGGUAUUUUUUUUCUAUCCGGCUCACUUUCGGGUUUAGGAGCAGCCCCAAGCUGUUUGACAUUUUCGCAGAGACCUUCUGUUGGCUGCUCCUAAACAUAGUUAUCCACUACGUGGACAAUUUUUUGUUGGUAGACCCAGGCUUACAAACACCCAGUAGCAUUCACAGCACCACAGCCCUUUUCAAUACACUAGGGGUACCCCUGUCACCAAGUAAAACGCUUGGACCCUCUACCAAGCUAGUUUUCUUGGGCAUAGUCUUAGACACUAUAUCUUUUCAAGCCAGCCUACCAUCCGAGAAAUUGACUCACAUUAGGGAUGAAAUCAGCCUGUUUCUGCGGAGUGAGACAUGCACCAGAAAGGGACUCCUGUCUUUAUUGGGGUCCCUUAACUUCACGAUGCGUAUCAUUUCGCAGGACAGAUCAUUCAUCUCUAGACUACUGUGUUUACUCCCUGGGGUGCCCGACUCCUUCCCAAUUAUAUUGGAUGGUCCUGCCAGGGCAGAUUUGCACAUGUGGAGUAACUUCUUGGCCGAAUGGCUCUCACCCACUAUCUACACAGAUGCAGCAGCACACACAGGGUUUGCAGCUAUUUUUGGCAACCACUGGUUUAGGGAUAACUAGCCCACUGAGACGGAUGCCUUGCCGGCCUUUAGAGAAACAUCCUUAUUGUUCGAGAUUUACCCCAUCGUGGCAGCCGCCCAUACAUGGGGUCAUCUCUGGACUUGCAAUGCAGUUAAAUGCUACUCAGACAAUUCAGCAACUUGCGAAAUUAUUAACAAGGGGCGGUCAUCCUCUCUAACCAUCAUGAGGCUGAUACGCAAGCUGACUUGGCUGGCAGCAACCGCUCAGUUCCACCUAGUCUGCGUACACAUUACUGGUAUCCAUAACACAGCUGCUGACGCUCUUUCACGCUCUCAAUUUCAGGUCUUCUUCCAGGCACUCCAUUCGACCCACCACCUACCAUCCAGGAUAGCACCUUUCCAUGAGCUAAUUCUGGAUUAAACGAGCUACUACACCACGCUCAGGCACUAAUGCACCACGCAUAUUCACCCAACACCACUAUCACUUACGCUAGGGCACUGUCUAUUUUUUUUUGUCUAUUAUCCCAUAAUACCAUUAAGCUUUACCUUACUGGGGUUCAACACCAUGUCCUCACUAACAUUCCUAAUCAUGCACCUUUCUUAGCAUCAUAGCCUAUUAAAAAAAUCCUCAAGGGUAUUUACAAGGUUACAGUUCCACCUGUCACUACCAGAUUGCCUAUAGAUGGUCCUAUUUUUAGGCUACUUAGCGACCUAUUGGACAUAUCCCGUUUGACUAUCCCAUUCACACUAACCUGGUUAUAAAGGCAGCUAUAUUUAUUGCUUUCUAUGGUUUCCUCAGACCUAGGUAGUUCACAGUCAUAUGCCAAGUACAUACCACAUUAAGCCUGAAACUAUCUCAUCUAAAGAAAGUAGAAGACCACUACGUACUUUCAUUACCUUCCACAAAAACUAACCACACCAUUCAUCCCACUAUCAUUCCCCUCUUCCCUACCGAGAAUGCCUGGUGCCCAGUCAAAGUAGUUGACAUAUUCCUGGUAUCUCACCACACUCACUCACUGGACACUCCACUAUUACUACUCCAAGGGCACCCACUCACCACAACUAAAUUCACAUCUCACGUCAGAACUCUACUGUUAAGGUUGGGCUACAACUCGGCUUCCUUCUCCGGUCACUCCUUCCGUAUAGCCGCAGUAUCUUCAGCAUCAAGCUCAAACACACCAGUCCACAUCAUUAAGAGACUAGGCCACUGGAAAUCCUCCAUUUACAAUACCUACAUACCAC